rnacentral:rRNA from 1 species
AGCGAACGCUGGCGGCAUGCUUAACACAUGCAAGUCGCACGACCGGGUUUCGGCCUGGGAGUGGCGGACGGGUGAGUAUCGCGUAGGGAUUUGUCGUUGGGGUGGGGGACGAACCUUAGGGAAACGUAGGGGCGUAAUAACCGCAUGACGCCUUUGGGCCAAAGCUCGAGAGGGCGCCUGACGAGGAGCCUGCGUCCGAUUAGGUAGUUGGUUGGGUGAUGGCUGACCAAGCCUGCGACGGUAGCUGGUCUGAGAGGAUGGCCAGCCACACUGGGACGUGAGACACGGCCCAGACUCCUACGGGAGGCAGCAGUGGGGAAUAUUGGACAAUGGGCGCAAGCCUGAUCCAGCAAUGCCGCGUGGA